rnacentral:rRNA from 1 species
UACGUAGGGGGCAAGCGUUGUCCGGAAUCAUUGGGCGUAAAGAGCGUGUAGGCGGCCCGAUAAGUCCGCCGUGAAAGUCCAGGGCUCAACCCUGGAAUGCCGGUGGAAACUGUCGGGCUGGAGUCCGGAAGAGGCGAGUGGAAUUCCUGGUGUAGCGGUGAAAUGCGCAGAUAUCAGGAGGAACACCAAUGGCGAAGGCAGCUCGCUGGGACGGUACUGACGCUGGAGACGGCGAAAGCGUGGGGAGCAAACGGG